ensembl:lncRNA
UUAGCUUUCCAUGCUUCAAUUCAGUUCGCUAUGUAUAGGAUUUCAGAAAAACAAUUCUGUGUCCGUUAAAUCGACAUUUUACCACCGCGUUAUCCGUUCGUCAUCUAUGAACACGACAUCGCGGGGUGUAAGCGCUCCCGGUUAGGAAUGCACGGUUCUAUCUCAGCACCAUUUUCCCGGUUGCUAACUGCUCUCAGUGAAACUGAUAUGAUGGUGAAAUGGCUCCCUCCGGUUCAAAUAUUGAGCAGCAAGCCUUUGACGGUAUUAAUACAUGUAAGUACAUAUUAACUAUUCUUUUUAUAAAUUAAAAUGAACGUAUUUUAAUUUUGUCUUUUUAUAAAU